UACAGAGGGUGCGAGCGUUGUCCGGAAUCACUGGGCGUAAAGGGCGCGUAGGCGGCUUGAUAAGCGUGCGGUGAAAGCCCGGGGCUCAACCCCGGGUCGGCCGUGCGAACUGUCGAGCUGGAGCACUGUAGAGGCAGGUGGAAUUCCGGGUGUAGCGGUGGAAUGCGUAGAGAUCGGAAGAACACCGGUGGCGAAGGCGGCCUGCUGGGCAGUGGCUGACGCUGAGGCGCGACAGCGUGGGGAGCAAACAGG
rnacentral:rRNA from 1 species